ensembl:lncRNA SLC12A2-DT SLC12A2 divergent transcript
ACCCGAGGCCGGGCCGGAGCCGCAGGCCAGCCGCGAUUCCUUCGGGCGAUGCUGGGGGCUUUCCGGUCGGGGCCGCAGCCGCUUCCGGAGCCGCGGGCGAGAUUUUUAGGGCAGUUUUUAGUGUCAUUAUGUUGCUGCUACAUAUUUGGAAGAUGGAACAAGCCCAGACAAAGGAGGAUUCUUUUUUACUCAUCUUAAAUCCAUUUUAUUUUCCUUCAUCUGAGCCCCUUAAAACUAAUGUGUUACUGGUGCAAGCGGUCUUCUCUGUCUUCUUUAUGGCCAGUAAAAUUCUCCAGAAGAGAUUUAUGGCAGCCUCACUCCCAGUAGUUUCUGCAUUUAGUGAGAUAAGGAUUUUGCUACUUGAUAAUGUGUGUGGGGUCUAGAAGUCAAGGAAGACUCUCUAGGUUCAGGAAGAGGAUGGAGUAUUGAUCAAAACAGGAAGGUCAGAAAAGAACCCCUCUGGGAAGAGUUGGUGCUGAAGAUGAGAUGGAGUAAGAGAGGCAUGUUGGGCUGUCAGUUUCACUCAGGACCCAUGGCAGAAUAUUGCUACCAACGGACCAUAACAAAAACAAGAAGAAUUGAAACAUUUUGGAGGCCGGAAACACCACAUUGAUAUUUCUCUCCAGUGUGAAAUAUUUUAACCUGAAAAACUUCUAGAUGCAAUUUUCAGAUAAAAUAGGCCUAUUCUAAUGGUAAUGUAAAAGUUACACUUAUACUUUCUGUCACUGCUCAUACCUGUAAAUCCCAUGGGGGGAAAGUCAUGAUUUCCUUUAGACAUAACAGUCGUAGCCCACAAAUAAGCCGCCAUGAAAUAGUCAAGCAACAGGCCUCCAGUAGCUGCAGCUGGAGAAAACACUGGAUAAGGUGAUCCAAUUUCUGCACAAGAUCUAGUCUCUCCUCCAUAGUAGCGUUUAGCCUGGAAGUCAGUCAUUCUCAUACUGUCAAAAGCCAGGGUCCCAGAAAAGGGAAUCUUUACAGAAGCAAAUAUUUUAUGGAGGACUUGAGAGAGUGUCUCUCAAUGUUUAAGUAUCUAUUCCAUAGCAAAUUAGGAACAACAAUAGCUAGAGUUAUAAAUACAAUUCAUUAUGUGUAUUUUGAAAUUGAAUUUUGAGCGAUUAGCAUAAAAAUACUGAAUAUGCAUUGCAAAUUAGCAUGCCAACCUUGCUAAAUGAAAUAACAGCCCUGACACGUACUUAAGUAGAAAGUGGAACUACACAAAAAUGGAGGAAUAUCAGUAGAUAACAUGUAAACCAGGACGAUGAAAAAAGAGGACACAAGUAAGAUCACUGCGGGUAUAUUAUUCUUAGCUACAUAUAGCUAACUGAGUCACCAUUUUCUAAGGAGGAAAAAUUAGAAGGAGUGCUGAAAGGGAAUAACUCCAGACUGUUAAUUACUUACAGUGAAUAUAUGUUUGCAUAUAUUUGCUUAAAGUAGCUGUUAAGGAAGCUCUAUUUAAUUUAUUUGUCAGUGUGGGCUGAGUCAUCAACAACUAUACUUUUCACUUUUUUCAUAGAAUCCAAGACAAGAAGAAUCUUUCAAGUGUUGCUAACCAGAACUGAGCAGAUCCAAGUAGCAAUCGUAGCCAAGCCAUUAGUCC